rnacentral:rRNA from 1 species
CAGCCGCCGCGGUAAUACGUAGGUGGCAAGCGUUGUCCGGAAUUAUUGGGCGUAAAGGGCUCGCAGGCGGUUUCUUAAGUCUGAUGUGAAAGCCCCCGGCUCAACCGGGGAGGGUCAUUGGAAACUGGGAAACUUGAGUGCAGAAGAGGAGAGUGGAAUUCCACGUGUAGCGGUGAAAUGCGUAGAGAUGUGGGGGAACACCAGUUGCGAAGGCGAUUCUCUGGUCUGUAACUGACGCUGAGGAGCGAAAGCGUGGGGAGCGAACAGGAUUAGAUACCCCAGUAGUCCCUGUCUCUUAUAC